AAAAUCAGACAGAAUCACCUCCAGAGGAACUGUUCAGUCCGACAGAAGAACGGAUUUAUAGACACUAGAUCUGGAAAAUCUGAGUUCAGCUAAUCUGAACAACAUCAUUUUCACUGGUUCCACUGUCUGAUUUUUUUCUAAAU